UACGUAGGGAGCAAGCGUUGUCCGGAAUUAUUGGGCGUAAAGAGCUCGUAGGCGGUUUGUCGCGUCUGCCGUGAAAGUCCGGGGCUCAACUCCGGAUCUGCGGUGGGUACGGGCAGACUAGAGUGAUGUAGGGGAGACUGGAAUUCCUGGUGUAGCGGUGAAAUGCGCAGAUAUCAGGAGGAACACCGAUGGCGAAGGCAGGUCUCUGGGCCAUUACUGACACUGAGAAGCGAAAGCAUGGGGAGCGAACAGG
rnacentral:rRNA from 1 species